rnacentral:rRNA from 1 species
UACAGGAGGUCCCGAGCGUUGUUCGGAUUCAUUGGGCGUAAAGGGUGCGUAGGCGGCGGGGUAAGUCUGAUGUGAAAUCCUGGGGUCAACCCCGAACUGCAUUGGAUACUGCCUUGCUAGAGUACUGGAGAGGAACUGGAAUUACGGUGUAGCAGUGAAAUGCGUAGAGAUCGAGUAAGGAAGACCAGUGGCGGAAGGCGAGUUUCUGGACAGUGAACUGACGGCUGGAGGCAACGGAAGGCCAGGGGAGCGAAACGGGA